rnacentral:sRNA from 1 species
AGUGUGAGGGUGACUGGCUAUGAUAUUUCUCGCCCUACAGUCACCAGGAUUGAUUUGGCGGUUCUGGGGUUGAUCUAGCUGGCAGUGCGGUGCUCCCUUCCUCCCUGGCCUAUAUACAUCCCUCUAGAAGCAGUGAAAGAGGACAGCCUUUGCUGGGGGCCUUCUUCACUCAAGAUUGAGUAGCUGUGCUCCCAUGCUAGUCUCUCCCAACAAGCUCCUCAGGUUACAUUCCACCCUCAUUUCAAUGAAGCAAUGAAACAAUGAAGCAGAGUUCUUCUGAUGUGUUUUCUAACUAAUUCCAAGCAUCUUU